rnacentral:rRNA from 1 species
AUUGAACGCUGGCGGCAUGCCUUACACAUGCAAGUCGAACGGCAGCAUGGAGAGCUUGCUCUCUGAUGGCGAGUGGCGAACGGGUGAGUAAUGCAUCGGAACGUACCGUGUAAUGGGGGAUAACGUAGCGAAAGUUACGCUAAUACCGCAUACGACCUGAGGGUGAAAGCAGGGGAUCGCAAGACCUUGCGUUAUACGAGCGGCCGAUGUCAGAUUAGCUAGUUGGUGAGGUAAAGACUCACCAAGGCGACGAUCUGUAGCGGGUGUGAGAGGAUGAUCCGCCACACUGGGACUGAGACACGGCCCAGACUCCUACGGGAGGCAGCAGUGGGGAAUUUUGGACAAGGGGGGCAACCCUGAUUCAGCCAUGCCGCGUGAGUGAAGAAGGCCUUCGGGUUGUAAAGCUCUUUCGGCCGGGAAGAAAUCGCACAGGCUAAUACUCUGUGUGGAUGACGGUACCGGCAUAAGAAGCACCGGCUAACUACGUGCCAGCCGCCGCGGUAA